rnacentral:rRNA from 1 species
GGACUACCGGGGUUUCUAAUCCUGUUUGCUACCCACGCUCUCGCGCCUCAGUGUCAGUAUUGGUCCAGGUGGCCGCCUUCGCCACGGAUGUUCCUUCCGAUCUCUACGCAUUUCACCGCUACACCGGAAAUUCCACCACCCUCUACCAUACUCUAGCCAUUCAGUCUGAGUGGACAUUCCCAGGUUAAGCCCAGGGAUUUCACCACUCACUUAUUCAGCCACCUACGCGCCCUUUACGCCCAGUAAUUCCGAUUAACGCUUGCACCCUCUGUAUUACCGCGGCUGCUGGCAC